GCGCCUCGGUGGCGUUGUCCUCCAGGAUCCCAUCGAUGUAGCGCACCGCCAUCUUGCACACGUCGCAGAACCCGCCGCGGUCAAACCUGACCUGGUCCAUCACAGCUGGGGGGGUUAAAGGGAGCAUGGUAAAUGACUUAUGAAAGAGACCGGCACGCUGGCUCCAAGAAAAGCCAGACGCCAUUGACUACACACCCGACAGCCAAAGGCAAGUUGUGCUAAAUGGGGCUGAAUUAGGAGCAUUCACAGCUGGAUAUAUACAGAAGCAGUGUAGGUUAAAGUAGCUUGCGCAAGGGCACAACGGCAGUGUCCUAACCUGGGAAUCAAACCUAUGACCUUUAGGUUACAAGACCAGUUCCUUAACCAUUAUACUACACUACUGCCCGCACACUGCCGGAACACUUUCUGCACACUGAAAUGUCCGCACAACGUGGCCCUCAGCCCUCCCUUCCCAGAGCGCUCACGAGGCUGGAACUGUACGCAGCAGCAAACGGAGAAGCCACAGCACGGUCAGGUGGCUUUCCCUGCCAGAGGACAGGGGCCAGGGAGGGGCCACCCGCCCGGUCCCUUAGCGCAAGAGCCAGGAAUCAGGGAGGGGCGGUCUCCUUGGGUCGGUGCGACCCUCAGGAGCGCGGGGUCUUAAGAGCGGGCGGCGGGGGACUCACGGAUGAAGGUGCGGUCGUCGCUCGAGCACAGGCCCAGCACGGCGCACACGGUGUUGGGGUCGGCCUCCUGCACCAGCAGGUCGAUGAUGGCCUCGCCGUAGGCAUCGAUCAGGUCCUUGCACUGAGCGGCGAGUUUGGAGGGCAGCAGGGAGCACACCUUCUCC